rnacentral:rRNA from 1 species
GCCAGUGGCGACAGCAUGUUGAAUGCACCAGUUUCAAAUGUAUCACUGAAGUUAAACAAAGUUGAGUGUGGUUAGUGUCCGGAUGGAUGAUCAUCUGCUGGGCAAUCUUAUGCAGCUGGCU